rnacentral:lncRNA from 1 species
GCUGUAUUGGGAAAUAACUAAAGUGUUCUAUUUGUUUUAGAUUAUCAUGUAUAAAAUCAAAUUUCGGCCUGUUAGAAAGGGGUAUACACAAGAAGAAUUAUAUCAUUAUAUCAAAUGCUUAAGGGGAAUAACUCUCAUAUGGAGUCUCCAGAUAGCAUCGGUCAAAAUAAAACGUAACAUCCUGGGGCAACAAGAAAUAACAGGUUUGUUUGUCCAAACGCUACCUACCCAGAAAAAAGCCGACUACUCAAAUUCUUUUAAUGUCCUGAUUUGAAGAAGUUUUUU